rnacentral:rRNA from 1 species
GAGUUUGAUCAUGGCUCAGAGUGAACGCUGGCGGCAGGCCUAACACAUGCAAGUCGAGCGGCAGCGCGGGGGCAACCCUGGCGGCGAGCGGCGGACGGGUGAGGAAUGCAUCGGAAUCUACCUCGUUGUGGGGGAUAACCUCGGGAAACCGGGACUAAUACCGCAUACGACCUACGGGUGAAAGUGGGGGACCGCAAGGCCUCACGCGAUGAGAUGAGCCGAUGCCGGAUUAGCUAGUUGGCGGGGUAAGGGCCCACCAAGGCGACGAUCCGUAGCUGGUCUGAGAGGAUGAUCAGCCACACUGGAACUGAGACACGGCCCAGACUCCUACGGGAGGCAGCAGUGGGGAAUAUUGGACAAUGGGCGCAAGCCUGAUCCAGCCAUGCCGCGUGUGUGAAGAAGGCCUCGGUUGUAAGCAC